rnacentral:lncRNA from 1 species
GGAAGAGGCUUGGUUUGGACAGUGAAACCUUAAGAGAGGAAUGGAGAAAUGUCAGGAUAAAGAAUCAUAUACCAGGUGGAUGAAGAAAAGUGCAGGCCAAAUUGAGGAGAAAACUAAUGGGUAUAACAUAAUGAAACAAAGGCUAGGUCACUAUAGCCAGGAGAGUGGUUUGACAGUGCAGCUCAGAGGUUGUGUGUAUGGAGGUAAAGGCAGAAAAACAUUCUGAGGCACUACUCAGACCAGAAGGGUCUAUUGCCACAGAAUCUACGGCAAAAUUUCUAACUCAGGAACAAAUAGAAGGCAUUUCUUUGCACUUGCAGCCAGCAUAGUUUUUGGAGUAGGUAAUAAAGGAAAGAUGUAUUCCCUAAAGUUCCUAUAUGUGCACUGAUCUGUGGAGUUACUAACAGCAACAGAUACGGCUAUGGUUAGUUCAAUAAAUAGUACUUACAGGCAUUAUCAGAUAUAGAGUAUCUAAAGCAGAAGAACACAACGGAUGAUGGCAGUCAAGAUUCUGGUGCCAUAGUGGACAGACCUGGUAAAUGACACACAUAUUAUAUGUAUUAGAUAUGUAAUAUAUAUAUUGCAUAAAGUCAAAGAGAGAUUUGGGACUAUUACAAAUUUUAGUGUCUAAUUUUAGGGUUGAAAGUGA